rnacentral:misc_RNA from 1 species
AAGCACUACCAACUAAAGGUCAGUGCUCUCGUCAUCCUCAUUUAAAUUGCUACGUUUUCAUGUUAAUAGUUGGAUUUUCCUCUUAUGGGCUUAAAAUGUUUCCGGAAAAAGAUGAAUGUUUUGCUGGUUUUAUAUAUGUGAGAGAAGUGUGGUCUGGUCUCUGCGAAUCGCGGAGUAUUUAUUGGUGUUACAACUUUACUCGCUUCUUAACAAAGAUUAUAUGGACGCUAUGUUUGGGAGAACGUUUUUGGAGGCAAGGGAUGGGGUUUUAAAGUUAUAGGUACAUGGCUAUCUGGGAGCAAGGUUUUUGAAGGAAAAAUCUCCAUUUUUUUCAGCCCACCAAUUUAGGAGGUGUGAAAGUUUUGAUAACAUACCUUCCAUUAUUAUACUACCCACGAGCCCUUGUGGCUCGCUUGGUGCUCUUAUAGCUUCCAAGAUGAUCAUAGACUAAGAGUUUGGUAUUCCUAGUGUUCUCAUGUGUACCAUUAAGGGGAAAAAUGUCUUUACAAGAGUUUGUGAUUCGUGGAGUAGAGAAUUGCAUGUGCUGCUUAUGAUGUGGAUAGAGAUAUGCUAUAUUGAUAUUGAUAGCCGAAUUGAUAUUCAGUUCAUAUAAUUGUUAUAAUUUGGUUAUAAGUAUGACAAGAGAGACAUCAUUUUGGACUUUGUCACGGUGGAUUAUCCAUAUGCUGAUUUAUCACUUCAUUUGGCUUUAUGUAAUUUUUUCAAAUUAUCUUGGCUCAGGGUGCCAUGUUGUCUGAGUAUCUAUUAAAAUUCAAAGUAGUUGUAUUUGGGUUUCCUUGAUGUAUCUUCAUCUUUUGGAACCCUACAUUGUUCAUUUUUACAUGGCGGGAAGCAGAAGGCCACAUUUGGUUCACUUUGGAAAUGGAUGUUUCCUAUUUCUAGACUCCAUUUCAAGGUUCAUUUUAGGGAGGAUAAAAUAUAAUGUAUGUAAUCUUAAAAAUUAUAGUUAAAGUAGAUAUCAUUUUCACCUAGAUUCAUGUUGUUCAAAUAUAUAGAUACUGUAAAAUAUUUAGAUUCCUUCUAUAGCAAAUAAGAAAAUGAUAUCCUAUAUAAUUACGCAUGUUUCCAUUUCCAGAGUGAACCAAAUAUGAUCAAUUUGUGUUGUGCAUCACCUUGUUGUUAGUGCUUCAUGUGUGUGUGUGUG